AUUGAACGCUGGCGGAAUGCUUUACACAUGCAAGUAGAACGGCAGCACGGGGGCAACCCUGGUGGCGAGUGGCGAACGGGUGAGUAAUACAUCGGAACGUGCCCAGUCGUGGGGGAUAACGUAGCGAAAGCUACGCUAAUACCGCAUACGAACUGAGGUUGAAAGCGGGGGAUCGCAAGACCUCGCGCGAUUGGAGCGGCCGAUGGCAGAUUAGGUAGUUGGUGGGGUAAAGGCUCACCAAGCCGACGAUCUGUAGCUGGUCUGAGAGGACGACCAGCCACACUGGGACUGAGACACGGCCCAGACUCCUACGGGAGGCAGCAGUGGGGAAUUUUGGACAAUGGGCGCAAGCCUGAUCCAGCCAUUCCGCGUGCAGGAUGAAGGCCCUCGGGUUGUAAACUGCUUUUGUACGGAACGAAAAGGCUCUGGUUAAUACCUGGGGCUCAUGACGGUACCGUAAGAAUAAGCACCGGCUAACUACGUGCCAGCAGCCGCCGUAAAAC
rnacentral:rRNA from 1 species